CUGUGAGGUACACCUGGGAAUUCUUCCAGUUAUACGUCUCUAUUUCACAUUUGUAGUGUAUAUACUGUUUUUUGCUCAUAGUCUCCUCAAUUUGUCUGGAUUCCUAAAGCUACUUAUCAGAACAUUAGCAACUAUCAGACCCCGCUCUAACUUCCUUCCUUCAAAAUACUGUAACAUUGUGGCCUAACUCCUCUCUAAAGUUUAAUUUGUUUGCUGAAGCUUCUUCUGUGCUUUGUUUGCAUAUCUAAACUGUAUAUAAGGAAAUAAUGGAGGAACUGUUUCUCCCGAAUUGUCUACAAUUUUAAACAAACAAGUACUUUACAGUUACAAUGCUGGUGUGUGUGGCAAACCUAGCCAUCUAUUUAUAUGCAAGACUGAGUUGGUUUGACAAUUUGGGGUUCCCGAACAGACUAAAGACAUAUUGUUCAUCAGUCAAACCAACUACUGAACAGUGAGACCACCACUUAGAAACUGCAAGAUACUAAAUGGUCGGAUGGGUGACCGUUGUUCGUAUGGUCGA